rnacentral:rRNA from 1 species
AGUGGGUUGCAAAAGAAGUAGGUAGCUUAACCUUCGGGAGGGCGCUUACCACUUUGUGAUUCAUGACUGGGGUGAAGUCGUAACAAGGUAACCGUAGGGGAACCUGCGGUUGGAUCACCUCCUUACCCUAAAGAAGC